CCGUACACAAAAAUGCACAUGCUGUGAGCUCGAUGAGUAGGGCGGGACACGUGGUAUCCUGUCUGAAUAUGGGGGGACCAUCCUCCAAGGCUAAAUACUCCUGACUGACCGAUAGUGAACCAGUACCGUGAGGGAAAGGCGAAAAGAACCCCGGCGAGGGGAGUGAAAAAGAACCUGAAACCGUGUACGUACAAGCAGUGGGAGCACGCUUAGGCGUGUGACUGCGUACCUUUUGUAUAAUGGGUCAGCGACUUAUAUUCUGUAGCAAGGUUAACCGAAUAGGGGAGCCGAAGGGAAACCGAGUCUUAACUGGGCGUUAAGUUGCAGGGUAUAGACCCGAAACCCGGUGAUCUAGCCAUGGGCAGGUUGAAGGUUGGGUAACACUAACUGGAGGACCGAACCGACUAAUGUUGAAAAAUUAGCGGAUGACUUGUGGCUGGGGGUGAAAGGCCAAUCAAACCGGGAGAUAGCUGGUUCUCCCCGAAAGCUAUUUAGGUAGCGCCUCGUGAAUUCAUCUCCGGGGGUAGAGCACUGUUUCGGCAAGGGGGUCAUCCCGACUUACCAACCCGAUGCAAACUGCGAAUACCGGAGAAUGUUAUCACGGGAGA
rnacentral:rRNA from 1 species